UUGCACGGAAAACACAGUAUAUAUUCCAGUAAAGGGUUAUAGUUGGGCAAGAAAUAUAGAGAUUGAUGAUGUUAGGUUUCGUGCAACAAUUUCCCAAGCGAUGUCACCUCUGAAUACAGUAUCACGAUGCACUACAUGCUUUCAGUUUCAGAUAAAGGAAGGAAGGUGUUUUAGAGAGAGAUAAUUCCCAAAACAAUGUGAGAUUACAGAUUAUGGAAGAUUGCUGGGCAUUAUGACAAACAAAGGUAUCAAGGAGGAAUAUGAACAAUGUAGGUCAGCAGUCAAAAUCUGUCACCUUAUUCAACUCUUAGCAGCAUGUUCCUAUGGAUCCAGAUGCAUUAAAAGAUUUCUAUUGUGUUGCAACCAAUGGAAUAGGCUAAGAAUCACACUGUUUUGCCUCUGUCACCAAAGACUGAAAUGUUUACUUCAAAAGACCUUCACCUGCAGUUAUUAAUAUUUCAACAAAGUUCGUGGCCCAAAAAAGCUUGCAGUUGAAAAGGAAAGGAAAGAUAAAAAAGAUUCACUAUGUCAUAGAAGCUAGUUUUACUAGAACUGUGUAGAAACUUUUGUCAAGGUUAAAGAAAUCAUUUUGUAUAAACAGAACUAACAGUUAUUGCUCGAACUUUUUAACAGGGAUAUUUUAAACUGGUGAUUGUUAUCUUUAUAUGUUGUACAUUUUGAUACUAUUUCCAAUUAGAUUAUGCAAAAAUA